AACGAACGCUGGCGGCAGGCCUAACACAUGCAAGUCGAACGCCGUAGCAAUACGGAGUGGCAGACGGGUGAGUAACGCGUGGGAACAUACCCCUCGGUUCGGAAUAACUCAGGGAAACUUGAGCUAAUACCGGAUACGUCCGAGGUUUUAAUCGACCUUGGAGAAAGAUUUAUCGCCGGAGGAUUGGCCCGCGUCUGAUUAGCUUGUUGGUGAGGUAAUGGCUCACCAAGGCGACGAUCAGUAGCUGGUCUGAGAGGAUGAUCAGCCACAUUGGGACUGAGACACGGCCCAAACUCCUACGGGAGGCAGCAGUGGGGGAAUAUUGGACAAUGGGCGAAAGCCUGAUCCAGCCAUGCCGCGUGAGUGAUGAAGGCCUUAGGGUUGUAAAGCUC
rnacentral:rRNA from 1 species